rnacentral:rRNA from 1 species
GAAGGUGGCAAGCGUUGUUCGGAAUCACUGGGCUUAAAGCGCGCGUAGGCGGAGAUGUAAGUGUCUUGUGAAAUCCCUCGGCUUAACCGAGGAACUGCUCGGCAAACUACAUUUCUUGAGGCAAGUAGGGGUACAUGGAACUCUUGGUGGAGCGGUGGAAUGCGUAGAUAUCAAGAGGAACGCCAAAGGUGAGACAGUGUACUGGGCUUGUCCUGACGCUGAGGUGCGAAAGCGUGGGGAGCGAACGGGGGAUUAGAUACCCCGGUAGUCCACGCCGUAAACGAUGUCUACUAGGUUGUGGGUGUUCUGACACACUCGCAGUCGGAGCAAAAGUGUUAAGUAGACCGCCUGGGGAUACGGUCGCAAGGCUA